rnacentral:rRNA from 1 species
UACGUAGGGGGCAAGCGUUGUCCGGAGUUACUGGGCGUAAAGGGCGCGCAGGCGGUCUGCUAAGUUCGGAGUGACAGUCAUCAGCUUAACUGGUGAAGGACUUUGAAAACUGGCGGACUUGAGAGCGAAAGAGGGACACGGAAUUCCGGGUGGAGUGGUGAAAUGCGUAGAGAUCCGGAGGAACACCAAAGGCGAAGGCAGUGUCCUGGUUCGUCUCUGACGCUGAGGCGCGAAAGCCAGGGGAGCGAAC